rnacentral:misc_RNA from 1 species
UAGCGCACCAGUGCAUGCAGCAAUGAACCAUACAAGGAUCGCAUGGAGAGUUCUUGAGGUGAUAUUUUUUCUGAAGAGACUGGCGAAAAAGGCCAGUAUAGAUGCCGCACAUCCACCAAGUAAACAGCAGCCCUUCUCCGAUCAGAAAGGAAGUUCUCGGGUCAACACCAUGGAACAAGGCUGUAGCAGCGGCGAGGGCCAUACCACCUUCAAUGAAGAUAGCAUGGCAAACACAAGGAGUUGUCCAUGGUACGUCUUCUUUGAUCCUCUCGACAUUACGCCCAAAAAGCACACAAGGGCAGAAAAGCCCUGUCCAGCAGCUAUCCAUAUCUUCGGUGCACCCACAGAUCCCAGUCGACCACGCCUCAUCCCCUGGCCGCUCGUAGCUCUCCG